UGCUGGGAUUUCAGGUGUGAGCCACCCUGCCCAGCCAACACUUUGAUGAUGAAAGAAUCUUUGCUGAGAUUUGCAUUAUGACAAGUUCAUGUAAGGCACAAUGGAGUAAAUAUCCACAUGCUCCUGAUGAUCUACUUUAGUGUUUGUAUUUUUAAAAAUUGAGUGUGGAGCCUGUACAGGGAGGACCCCACCGCCACCCACUCUCCCUGCCCCUUGGACCCCAGACUGUACCUUAUCUCUCUGGCCAGGUGAAGCCCAUGAAGUUGACAUGCCGGAGAUCAGCCUCCGCUAUGUUGCAUCCUGCUGCAGCCAGGACUCGACCCACUGUGCAGAAAAUCUUUGCAAGGCUGACACUUACUGAAAAUGGUGGGCAGCCAAGGCAGGUGAGAAGACAAUCUCUGUGGUCCUACAGUUGGAGAAGGAGGAGCAGAUACACUGUGUGGACAUGGGGAAUGAUUGCUCAGCUUUCGUGGAGGUGCUGGUUGGGUAGCUUGGCUGGAGGUGCUGGGGAGCAAGACUAUGAGGUCCUUCUAGUCACCUCAUGUUUGAUGUCCCCUUUGGAGAGCCGCAGUGGUUCGAACCCCAACCGCGUUCACAUGUUUGGGCCUGACAAGCUGGUCCGGGCAGCAGCUGAGAAGCCCUGGGACUGCGUCAAAAUUGUUUGCAGCCAGCCCUACAGCAAGGGCUCCCCAUUUGGCCUGAGUUUUGAACAGUUUCAUAGCCCCCUAGACAAAGAUGAGGUAGAGGCCCCAUCCCAGAAGGUGACGGUGACCAAGCUCGGCCAAUUCCGUGUGAAGGAGGAGGACGAGAACGCCAACUCUCUGAGGCCGGGGGCUCUCUUCUUCAGCCGGGUCAAAAAGACAUCCCCAGCCACAGUCAGCAACCUGGCAGGACCCAGCUACGAAGCUGCCACCCUCCAGGUCUCCAGUGCUGCCGCCUCAGCCUCUCCAGUCUCCAGGGCCAUAGGCAGCACCUCCAAGCCCCAGGAGUCUCCCAAAGGGAAGAGGAAGUUGGGAUUUGAACUGAGAAGAAAAGAAGACCCGCCAGCAAACCAGCACCCCAGCUGUCGCCACCUGUUCCCAAGAGACCUAAAUUGCCAGCUUCCACCCAUACCCCAGCCACAGCCCCAGUCCCUGCCCCAGCACAGAGGUAGUGACAGGCAAGCCCCAAGGAGAAGGCGCUGAGCCCAGACGACCCUGCACUGGCCCAGAGGAGCUGGGGAAGAUCCUUCAGGGUGUGGUAGUGGUGCUGAUUGGCUUCCAGAACCCCUUCUGCUCCGAACUGUGAGAUAAGGCCCUAGAGCUGGAGGCCAAGUAUCAGCCAGACUGGGCCCCGGACAGCAUGCACCUCAUCUGUGUAUUUACCAACACCCCCAAGUACAGCCAGGUCCUAGGCCUCGGAGGCAGCAUUGUGUGUAGGGAGUGGGUGCUGGACUGUUACCACAGGCGUCAGCGGCUGCCCUCCCGGAGGUACCUUAUGGCAGGGCCAGACCCUAGCAGUGAGGACAAUGAGGCCUUUCACAGUGGCAGCAGUGGUGAUGAAGCCCCCAAGCAUCCUUGAAAGCGCCCCCAGACCAAAACCAAGCCCACUCAGGCAGCUGAACCUAGCUCACCCCAGAAGUCCCCAACCCCGGAAGAGACCAAAGCAGCCUCACCAGUGCCCCAGGAAGACACAGACAUUGAGGGGGAACAGUCGCAAGACAGAACAACGGGGUGGAAGAUUCUGGGGACACAGAAGAUGAGCUGAGGAGAGUGGCCGAGCAGAAGGAACACAGACCGCCCCCUGGCCAGGAGGAGAACGGGGAAGACCCGUAUGCAGGCUCCACAGGUGAGAACACAGAUGAUGAGGAACACCAGGAGCCUCCUGAUCUGCCAUUCCGCGAGCUCCGAGGUUUCUUCCAGGACAAGCACUUCUUCCUUUACGGGGAGUUCCCUGGAAACAAGUGGCAGAAACUCAUCCGAUACGUCACAGCCUUCAACCGGGAGUUCCAGGGCUGUAUGAGCGACAGGGUUCAGUUUGUGAUCAUGUACAGGAAUGGGAUCCCAGCUUUGAGGAGGCCCUGAUGGACAACCCCUCCCUGGCAUUUGUUCGUCCCCAGUGGAUCUACAGUUGCAACGAGCAGCAGAAGUUACUUCCUCACCAGCUCUAUGGGGUGGUGCCUCAGGCCUGAAAUAUGUGCUACACACACACGUACACACACACACACGUACACUCACACACAUACCUGAAGUAUGUGCUACACAGACAGAGAGAGAGAGGGAGGGAGGGAGGGAGGGAGAGAAGAUGCAUUUAAUAAAGAUGACUUGGUUUGGAAAAAAUAAUUGAGUAUGAGACAGUGUUUUCAGUCUCUGCUAAAUGUCCUCAUGCCCUCUUUCUCUCCCCAUUUGGAUUAUCCGGGAUUGC